GGGCUUGUGGGGUAGCUUGGAAUCCUAUGGGCCUUCGGAGCCUAAGACCCGGGUUCGAAUCCCGGCAAGCCCA
rnacentral:tRNA from 1 species